UAUCGACCAGGGAUGUUGAUAACCAACGAAAUGGCCACCGAUCAAUCGCAAAAUACCCCGCUAACAUUAAAUACUACGGAAUAAGAUCGAGUGUAAGAAUGGGGCUGGAUGAAGACCUGUAACCUGGCACUAUCAUGCUGCUUGGCAGUUUUAACUAUCACAUCACAAGUGACUUCACAAGUUAUGACUGGUGGUCAUGUCCGAUCUCGACAGCCGUUGAUGCCUGUAGCACCAGUGGUGCCUUUUUAUACCGCCGAUAUGAUAGACACGCACCAAGAUUAUAUGGCGGAUUUGAUGAGCUACCGAAUGCAGAUGGACAUGCUCCGAGGACUCUCUUCAAACGGCUACCCCGCAAGUCCCCCAAUGAUUAAUUCCCCUUAUUACCAACCGCCUAACAGACCAGUCAACCAAGGACAGGCACCGCAAGUGACCAUCAUUGAAAGACCAAGAUCAAACACAUUUCGUAACCAACCAGUAAAUAACCAACGAUUCAGGAGUUCUAAGGCAGGGACCCGACAACGGUCCAAUCCAGGAAACAUAGUCUUAUUGUCCCGUAAGAAGAGAUUCCUCCGUAUGCCUUUCGGGCCUACUAUGCCCUUUGCACCAGUAGGAGGUAAUUAAUUUGUUCUAAAGACAAGAUUAAUAUAUAAUGUAUGUCCUACGGGUGAGCAAUCGGAC